GAUGAACGCUAGCGGCAGGCUUAACACAUGCAAGUCGAGGGGUAUAGUUCUUCGGAGCUAGAGACCGGCGCACGGGUGCGUAACGCGUAUGCAAUCUACCUUUUGCAGAGGGAUAGCCCAGAGAAAUUUGGAUUAAUACCUCAUGGUAUGUGAGAAUGGCAUCAUUUUCACAUUAAAGUCACAACGGCAAAAGAUGAGCAUGCGUCCCAUUAGCUAGUUGGUAAGGUAACGGCUUACCAAGGCAACGAUGGGUAGGGGUCCUGAGAGGGAGAUCCCCCACACUGGUACUGAGACACGCACCAGACUCCUACGGGAGGCAGCAGUGAGGAAUAUUGGACAAUGGGCGCAAGCCUGAUCCAGCCAUGCCGCGUGCAGGGUGACGGUCCUAUGGAUUGUAAACUGCUUUUGUACAGGAAGAAACACUGGUUCGUGAACCAGCUUGACGGUACUGUAAGAAUAAGGAUCGGCUAACUCCGUGCCAGCCGCCGCCGUAAUAC
rnacentral:rRNA from 1 species